rnacentral:rRNA from 1 species
UUGGAGGGCAAGUCUGGUGCCAGCAGCCACGGUAAUUCCAGCUCCAAUAGCGUAUAUUAAAGUUGCUGCAGUUAAAAAGCUCGUAGUUGAAUUUCGGGACCAUCAUGUCGGUCGUGCCUCGGUACGUACUGGUAUUGUUGGUUUCUCCCUUCUGACGAACCAUGAUGUCAUUUAUUUGGUGUUGUGGGAAAUCAGGACUGUUACUUUGAAAAAAUUAGAGUGUUUAAAGCAGGCUCACGCUUGAAUACAUUAGCAUGGAAUAAUGAAAUAGGACGUUUGAUUCUAUUUUGUUGGUUUCUAGGAUCGACGUAAUGAUUAAUAGGGAUAGUUGGGGGCAUUAGUAUUCAAUUGUCAGAGGUGAAAUUCUUGGAUUUAUUGAAGACUAACUACUGCGAAAGCAUUUGCCAAGGAUGUUUUCAUUAAUCAAGAACGAAAGUUAGGGGAUCGAAGACGAUCAGAUACCGUCGUAGUCUUAACCAUAAACUAUGCCGACUUGGGAUCGGAUGAUGUUAAUUUUUUAAUGACUCAUUCGGCGCCUUACGGGAAAC